GUUACUAGUAGCCUGGGAUGAAGUAACUCAGAGGUGAAGGGCGGAGAGCAAGAGGUCCUUUUAGGGUCCGGUGUGCCAUUGCCAGCCUCUUUGGUCGAGGACUGGCCCCAAAGGAGAACUGGGAAAGCUGGGCGGCAGCGGGAGGCGCUGGGAAGAGCGCGCCGGAGGGAGGUGCUGGGAAGGGCGGGCGGGGCUCGGGCCGCGGGCGGGGCCGCGGGCGGGGGCGGGCCGGGGCGGGGCGCCGGGCGGCCCAUUUCCUCCUCCGAGCAGGACUGGGGGAGACAAAGCGACGGCCCGUCGGCUUCUGGCCUCUGGAAUCUUCCGGCGCUCGCCCAGCUCGCCGCAGAGGAAGUUGAUUCCAUGGUGAUGAUAACUGUCUGGGGCUAUCUGGAGAAUGAUUGGAAAUGAGAACAUUCCUGAAAACAGGGAGGCCUUAUCUUCUGACAUUUCACUAAUAUUUUUCCUUCACACCUGUGGUUCUUGGAAGAUGCCAAAGGCCUUUGGUCCCUUUGCACAACCUGAAACAACUGCCCUCCCUCCUAGGACAGCGGAUCCUCAGUGAUGACUCUCCCCAUUGGGGAUUCCCUCCCGGGUGCUCCUCUUGCACCAGUGGAUUGCUUUAUGACUUUAUACUUUCUGUUGUAUUAUAAACUGUUUUUCUUUCUAGACUGUGAGCAUUUCCCUCAACUUUCUUUUUUUGAAAUUCUUCAAAUGUACAGAAAAGUCAAAAGUAAUACAAUGAGUACUUGAUUCUUCAGUUCAUCUAGUUUCAUCAGUUGCUAACAUUUUUCAGAUUUCCUCCAUUACUGUAUAUAAGUUUUUUAUCUGAGGCAUUUGAAAAUAAACUGCAGAUACCAAGUAUUUCACCCUUAUGUUUUUUAGCAUGUAACUCCUCUAAGAGUAAGGACAUUGCCUUACUUAACUAGCUAUAAUAUAUAAGAAAUUUUACUUCGAUAUAGUAACAUGAUCACUUUUAAAGAGUAGUCCAGAGCCAAUGUCUGCCGGCCCUGGGAACUUGUGAGAAAUGUGGACUCUUAAAUAUCACCCUAGACCUACGGAUGCAGAAUUUGCCUUUAACAAGAUUCCUAGAAGUCCUGAUCUCCUGUACAAACCAUAUUCAUGUUAAAUCCCACCAGUUGUCCCAGUGAUGUCCUUCUUAGUGUGUUUUUUUUAAUGCAAGAAUCAAUAAAAGAUCCUGUACUGAAUUUAGUUGUUGUAUUCCUUUGGUUUUGUCAGUCUUUUUAUUUUUUCUAUGACUGACACUUUUGGAGAGUUUAGGCCAAUUGUAGAGAAUGUCUACAGUUUGGAUUUGUCUCAUUGUUUCCACUUGUGGCAAGAACAGUACAUAUGUGAUGAUGUACCUUUCUCAGCAUUGAAAUGAUUGUCAGGUUGUUCCACCUGUGGUGAGGCUAAUAAGUUUAAACACUUGUGAUUAAGUGGCAUCUGCCAGAUAGCUCCAUUGUAAAGGCACAUUUUUUCUUUUAUACUUACUAAUUGAUUGCUGUGAUUGCUAUGAUGAUCUGGUAGUGGUUUCUGAUUAGUCUUUGUGUCCCUGACACCUAGCAGGAUCCUCAGAAUGUGUAAUUGGUCAGUCAUUGACAAAUGAAUGGUAACCAAAUCAUCAAAGGUAUAUGCUACAAGUUUUAGAGACAUUUCUUUUUUUUUUCCUCAGUUCUUUCUCACUCAGUACUUCCUCUAGUCAAGUUUGGGCAUCUUGUCUCCUGGCUCUCUAAGAAAAGUAUAGUCUUCUUAUUCCUGUGUAGCUUCUCAGCUGGGUGAGAAGUUUCUCUGCCUUUUAGUCCCAUUGUUGUGAAACAAAACCCUCUUUUCCCUUUUGUCUCUGUUUUCUUGAGCUUCCAGUCCAGAUGCUGGCUUCAUCUUUGUUUUUCAGACCGUCCAGUCUCUUAUGGGAAAAGGGACUUCCUGUGCAUCCAUAAUCAGUUAUCUGUUGUGAGGGCUUGGUGCAGUUUUCUCUUAAACACUUGCAUUGUUAAUGGUCUCAACCAUGUGGAAUGGAAGCUGAGUAAAUGGACAUAGCUAUCCGGCCCACAGUGCAGUUAUUCCAGCAGCUCUGGAGCUUGUUUCUGUUGUUCUCUUCAUUUGAUCUCUUACUUCUUCUCUAUGCUCCAGGCACACUGAUCACUUCUUUCUCUAAGUCCUGGGAGAUUCUGUCUUAUCUCUGUUACCUCUGUGUUCAAUGCUCCUCCCCCAAAUAAUUCACUUGAUUGGCUCUUUAUUGACUUUCAGCUCAAGUGUUAUCCAGAUAGAAAGGUCCUGGAAGGAUCCUACCUCAUUUCAUUACCAUUACCCUGCUUAAUUUUCUUUCUAGCACAGAUACUGUUUUGUUUACUUACUUAUGCUGUUACUACAGUGUAGUUUCAUGAAGACUUUUUUUUUUUUUUGUCUUGAAUAGUGUCUGUGCAGAGAAGGCAGUAAAAUAUUUGAUUAAGUGACUAGUGGACCAACCAUUGUUUUUUUAGGUUUACCUUUUGUCCUUUGCUUAGUGCUUUUGGUAAUCAUUGUGUUUCCUGUGUUACCCUAUUACCUUCAGUACUCUAGAGAAGAUAAGAAAAUGAGAGUGAUGGUAUGUUUUAUUAUGAUUAAAAAUAAUUAUAACCUUUAGCAGUAAUAAAAUCAUCAUAAUAUUACAACAUUGAAGUAAAACAAAGACCUAGCCAUGUCCUUUUUCUUCUAGGUCUGUAUAUCUGAGUGACAAUUUGUAUUGUG
rnacentral:lncRNA from 1 species